rnacentral:rRNA from 1 species
GACAGAGGCCACGACCGUUGUUCGGAAUCACUGGGCCUAAAGCGCACGUAGGCGGCUAGGUCCGUCCGAUGUGAAAGCCCCCGGCUCAACCGGGGAAUUGCAUCGGAUACAGCCUGGCUUGAGGACGGUUGGGGUGAGUGGAACUCCUGGUGGAGCGGUGAAAUGCGUAGAUAUCAGGAGGAACACCGGUGGCGAAAGCGGCUCACUGGACCGUUUCUGACGCUGAGGUGCGAAAGCUAGGGGAGCAAACGGG